rnacentral:rRNA from 1 species
GACGAACGCUGGCGGCGUGCUUAACACAUGCAAGUCGAACGGAAAGGCCCUGCUUUUGUGGGGUGCUCGAGUGGCGAACGGGUGAGUAACACGUGAGUAACCUGCCCUUGACUUUGGGAUAACUUCAGGAAACUGGGGCUAAUACCGGAUAGGAGCUCCUGCUGCAUGGUGGGGGUUGGAAAGUUUCGGCGGUUGGGGAUGGACUCGCGGCUUAUCAGCUUGUUGGUGGGGUAGUGGCUUACCAAGGCUUUGACGGGUAGCCGGCCUGAGAGGGUGACCGGCCACAUUGGGACUGAGAUACGGCCCAGACUCCUACGGGAGGCAGCAGUGGAGAAUAUUGCACAAUGGGCGGAAGCCUGAUGCAGCAACGCCGCGUGCGGGAUGACGGCCUUCGGGUUGUAAACCGCUUUCGCCGGUGACGAAGCGUGAGUGACGGUAAAGGGUAAAGAAGCACCGGCUAACUACGUG